UAUGGUCAUAUAGCAUUGAAACACCGGCUCUCGUACAAUCACCGAAGUUAACCAGCGUCGAGCCUGUGCAAUACCUAGAGGGGUGACUGCUUGGGAAUACCAGCUGUUGAAA